rnacentral:rRNA from 1 species
GAUGUCGUGGUGCCGAAUAAUGGCGACGCGAAAGAGAAAUCGAGUAGGGCCCUGGGGAGAGUACACGCGCAAGCGAGAAAUUUAAAGGAAAUUGACGGAAGAACACCACAAGGAGUGGAGUGUGCGGCUUAAUUUGACUCAACGCGGGACAACUUACCGGGCCCGACGACCGUAUGAGUGUAACACACGAUAGGUCGAAGAGUGGUGCAUGGCCGUUAACGACGAGUGGAGUGAUCUUUGGGUUAAGUCCGUAAAUUAGUGAGACCUCAGCCGUAAGGGACAGGUGCGCAAAGCACAGGAAGGAUGGGUCAAGGACAGGUCAGUGAUGCCCUUAGAUGGUCCGGGCUGCACGCGCACUACAGUGGUCGCCGAAAUUACCUGAUAAUUUUAAAGGCGAUCGAGAGGAAAUGAGCUUUGUAAGAGGCUCAGGAACGAGGAAUUGCUAGUAAUCGCGGACUCAUUAAGACGCGAUGAAUACGUCCCUGUUCUUUGUACACACCGCCCGUCGUUAUCGAAGAUGAAGAUAGGCGCGAACGAUCUACCAGAAAGUGAGCGCAGGUCUUUAGAUCUGAUACAAGUCGUAACAAGGUAGCUGUAGGAGAACCUGUAGCUGG